GUUAUCGUUUAUUUGAUAGUACCUUACUACUUGGAUAACCGUGGUAAUUCUAGAGCUAAUACAUGCUAAAAACCCCGACUUCGGAAGGGGUGUAUUUAUUAGAUAAAAAACCAAUGCCCUUCGGGGCUCCUUGGUGAUUCAUAAUAACUUAACGAAUCGCAUGGCCUUGUGCCGGCGAUGGUUCAUUCAAAUUUCUGCCCUAUCAACUUUCGAUGGUAUGGUCUUGGCUUACCAUGGUUUCAACGGGUAACGGGGAAUUAGGGUUCUAUUCCGGAGAGGGAGCCUGAGAAACGGCUACCACAUCCAAGGAAGGCAGCAGGCGCGCAAAUUACCCAAUCCCGACACGGGGAGGUAGUGACAAUAAAUACUGAUACAGGGCUCUUUUGGGUCUUGUAAUUGGAAUGAGUACAAUUUAAAUCCCUUAACGAGGAACAAUUGGAGGGCAGGUCUGGUGCCAGCAGCCGCGGUAAUUCCAGCUCCAAUAGCGUAUAUUAAAGUUGUUGCAGUUAAAAAGCUCGUAGUUGAACCUUGG
rnacentral:rRNA from 1 species